UGAUCAUUUUUUCAUUAAAUUGACCUGAGAAUAUCCUCCCAAUAAUUCCAUUUUCUGCAGGGGGAGUUCGAUGGGCGACGAAAGAAACCUGCUUCAAGGAGCGAACAGACUGGUCCCUUAUGGUAAAUGCAAUCUCCAGUACUGUUCAAGUCUGCUUUCGAUACUUUGGGCCAACCUGCUAAGGUUCCCAAUCAUGCUUUUCCAAUAAAGGACCACUGCAAAUUCUUACCUGAUGCAUCAAUACUGAAUCUCUCCGAAUCUUUCGACCUGGAAGAUGGUCUUGUUUUUCCUUUUCCAAAUGGCCGAAACCACCAUUUCAAAAGCAGGUAUCCGAUACUCAUAAAUAGUCUUGUGGCUUAACGGUGUUACCUGAGAAAUGCAGCUCCUGCGUUAAGAUACUACACUCUUCUCUUGUUAAAUAGUUGAGAGGGCACAUUGACUAGGACCAGAGAAUCCCAGUCUGUGCAGCUGGUCGUGGGUUUUUAGCCUCCAUGUGUCUGCAAACUGCAGGAUGUUAGCUGCUCUGGGAAUGUGAAAUUUUGGCCAAAUCAUUUAAGUACCUUUUUGUUGGAUUGCCUUUUCCUAGUAGGCUCAAGAACGCGCUUGGGUAGGGAAGCUUCAGUCUCAUUCCAGCAGAGUUUAUCAUAACGAGAAGGCUACCAAGUACUCUAACUAAGCAUGUCUUUGAUAUCAUCUGGAUUGGCUAAGUCAGCCUCCUUGAAGUUACAAGCAGUGGCAAAGAUGGGAUCUAGGGCAUCAACAACUUUGACAUGAAGAAAAUUUUUAAACAAUACUUGUACAUCAAUGGAGGGUCCCUUCCAUACCCACAGAUCUGUCCAUGCAUGCACGAGUCUUCUGUUCCUGAUUUGCCAAUAGUCUCCGAUGGUGAACAGAAGCGUUUCUGAUCUAAUAUCUUUCCAGCCGUAAGCUUUUCCAGGAUGGAAUCUGUUUAUAAAAUCUUUUUGCAUGAGCAAAGCCUUAUUAGUGCUGAACCUGCAGACUAGAAGCUACUCAGUUUGACAGACUUUCACCACCGGGAUCUAAUUGCUGCUAUUGGAACAACUAAAUGGCAGUUGGAGAAUUUUGAGAGAGCUGUUCAAAUAUCUGAUGUGUCAGAUAAAACAAGUAGGUCGAGGUGCUUUAUUGAGACAUGGCCAGAUUAUCGGGGCAUUAGCAGGUAAAUGUAGUAGAGAAAGCCUAGAGCACCUACCUGCAAAAGAAGGCAAUGGUAUCAUUUAGUCGGUAAACUUAAAUGAACAAGAUAAGGACCGGUUAGCUCUUUUCAUUUCUGGUGGCUAUUCGUCAGACUCCGUACAUUAUGACACAGGAAGGAGCAAUCUCACUAUCUCAGAGCAUCAGGGGAUGAGCACACAGUCCCAGAGUAACAAAAAUAUUUGAUGAGACUCCAAACCAUGAGGAGAUAUUACACAAUGGAACUGAUUCUUUUUGGUAUCCAGGUUAUGUUGUCCAGUUGAUGAGUGCCUCCAUCUUAACUAUUUGAAUCACAACCAUUCAAGCACACCUCAUGUUUCUGCAGAAAUGAAAACUGAUGGUGCUGGUAUUGAAAAGACAAACUGGAAUUGUGAUGGUCACUUCCAAGGUCUGACUAAAGAGAGAAACUUUUCAACCCCUUCUUGUUUGGUCAAUCAUCAAU